CAGAAAAUGAAAGUGUUUUCUGCCCUUUUCCCUACACUAAGGGAUUAUUGAGAUAAUGACCUAAUAGUCUGGGUUGUGUAUAUGUCAGAAAAACUUCAUUUUAUUAAUAAGUGAUACUACAGAUACUGCCCAUUUAUUAUAUUGAUAGCAGCUGUGGAUAUGAGAAGAGUGGACCUAUAUAUGUCCAUAUAUAGGUAUAACCAAUAUAUAUGUAUAACAUAUAUAUGUCCAUAUAUAUGUAUAACCAAACCACAGGUGUUUUUUUGGAAGUCAUAUUAUACAGGGAGUUGACAGAGGUGUGAGCUGGACUUUAAGAAGCUGCACAUAAGAUGCUAGUAUGAUCAAGCUGGAAUGGACUUAGACAAUUUGAAACAACUUUUCUCAGUUUUCAGAUGAGGAAACUGACGGGUACCAAGCUUAAAUGACUUGACGAAGCUCAUAGAAGAUUAGCAGGUAGUAGAAUAAUGACUGCUGACUCCUAAUUCAGUGGAUCUUCCCUGGCCACCGUUUUGUAUUGAGCUGCAAUGCUUCCUUGACUGUUCUCCAUGCCAGAUUCUUAUCAAUGAUCUUUCACCUAAGAAACAGCAAAGAUUCUGGCAAGCACACGAUCUAGAGAUACAUCUUAUUGCGAUUUUUCACAAAAAUCAAAAGAAGAAAGAAGGCUUAGCUGGUGUUUAAUUAUUGUUAUUUUUUUCAAUAGGGAAAUCUGUACACAAUGAUUUAUCUCCAGUGAUUUGCCAUUGAUCAAUUUUUUUCUCAUUUCAUUUUCUAUUUUUUUGUUUUUUGUUUUUCUUUAUUUUUUAUUUUUUUCUCCUUUUUCUUUUUUUAAAUUUUCUGUUUAUCACAAAUGAUCAUGUAAUUAUAUGUUAAUACUAUGUAACCCCAGUGUUUUCAACUGUUUGUGAUUCAAUGUUACCCAGUUUUCUUUUCUUAAUUUUAAAUAAAUUUGAAAAAUUAUCUUAGAGUGUUUUGAGCCUGUGUUGGUACAUUUAGUUCUAGUUCAUUGUGGUAAAUCCACUUCAGUUUCUAAGUUUCCACCCUUUAGUAAAGACAUAUUUCUAAAUUUGGUUUAUAUCCUCAGUUACAAAAGAUUCUAACUGCUAGUUUUGUGACAGCAAUCACACAUACCAUCAAGGGAUGGGGCAGGCAGUUUUGGAAUGUGCUGAUGCUAGCAUUUUUAUAAGCCUAUGGCUUUUAUAGUCUAAAUUGUUCUUAUUUCUAUUAAUGCUUCAAUUUUUGACAAACACACAACCAUAGAAACAAAUAAUAAAUUUGUUUUUUGGGAAUUAUCCAGGAUUCUUGGUUAAGUGGGGAAUUUAGGCUUUGACAGCAUAAAGGAUCACGGAUAAGUAUUUUUCACGGUGGCUCUAAUUAUAAUGCUGAGCAUGUGGCAGGCACAGAAAUAUUUACUCAUUGACUGAAUAUAGCACAUCGUAAUGUUGAUUUUUUUCCAACAUAAUUUUAGAGCUAGGCAUAUUGUAUUCUAUUACACUAGACUAUAUAUCAUUCUUAAAUAGAACCAGCCUUGCUAGAUAACACAUGUUGGAGGAGAGGCCCUUCUUCUUAGCCCUCAGUGUUUCCAUCUAUGGGGAAGAAGUUCCACCAUACUAACAUUACUAUCGUCUCUCCACCUGCUCACUCACUUCUCCCCAAGGGAGGGGUGUUCGAUAUGGUUUCUGAGCUUGGAAAGAAAACUCAGGCAUGUGUAACAUGGUUCCUUCAGUCCCAUGACCCACUGUCCACAAAUGGGCUGCUCACAGAGUGCAUGCCUUCACCCUUGUUCCUGGCCAUGCAGGAAAUUGUAUGAAACAGUCCUAGCUGAAGCCUGAGAUUUUCCUGCAUUGCCUAGUCCUGGUGGGUAUCUGUCUACUCCUGGAGUUUGGAUUGGAAAGUCCACAUGCCUGAAGGUAUAAACCUAUUCUACAAAGGGGUGUUUUCUAGAAUGAAGGUAAUAUUUUUAUCUUACAUUUGCAGAAAGAGACAGAACAAUGUUAUAGGACUGUAUUGUCUGCUAGACCAUUUAUUCAAAGUGGGAGGAUGAUGUUCUAAAAGCCAAUGAUAAAGCUCAUGGCAAUGCAGGGUAUAUCUGAUGGCAUGGAAUGCUUUAGGAUGGCCAAGAUUGCCCAUCAAAUGCCAAGUCACCGAAGGUACUCAUUUAUUCUAAAAAUAUCCACUAAGCAACCCUUUCUAAUAUGUGUUGUUCUAGGUUCUGGGAAAUAAGAAAUCAUUAGAAAAAGAUUUCUGCCUUCUAGAAGUACACAGUCUAAUGGUGAGAUAGGCAGUUAUUAAUGGCUCUCCUACUAGGAGCCUGACAUCAUGGUGAGCAUCGAGAAAGGAAUAACCUAAGCUGAAGACACGCCUUUUCAGGAGGCCAAGUUCCACGUUCUGUGCAUGCUUUUGGCGAAAGUCAGCAUAUCUGAAGGCCCUGACUCAACAGUAGUGGGUCUUAAUGCUUGUGCUUGUCCACCCUUCUCGGCAGUGAUUGAUUUCAUUGUUGGCUUGUUUUCAUGACUUGAAUGUGCGAUCUUCAGAGGGCCUAAUUCCUUGCAAGUUCCAUUUGAGGGUGGAAGAGCUAGAACAAGCUAUAACCAGUAGACAACUCCGUGACUCAGGAGCUUAAGCAUGUGACUAAUUAGUAAGAAAAAAUGUGGUGAAGAUUUGUAGUUAAUAAGAAGGAAAGAAGAAUCACUGGGGCUAGAAUUAUGCAAGCUUUUGUUUCCUUUUGGGACUAUAUCAGAACUAUGAGAGAAGAAAGGCUACCUUUUACCUUUGAGGAAUUUUCAAAGCCUUUUUUUUUUUUUUUGGUUGGUUUGUGACUGACAAAGGGCACAAUUUCAACACCUCAGAAAAAUGCCUCAUCAUUUCCUCUUGUGAAAUCUGGGUGCUUCUGAAUGAAUCCAUGUUAGGAAUGUGUACUUCCAUCCAUUAAAGUCAAUGUCCAGUCUCAUUUUGGGCCAGAGGCUGUUACUAAGUUGUAGUACUGGUGAGAAAAGGACAGAGCAUUUACCUUCCCUGGGUAUCCUGUGACCUACAUGUGUCCUUGCAAGGCAGGGAAAUGUUACUAAUUAAGAGCAUAGCCUUUCGUCAGAUGGGUUCAGAUCCUAACACAUCCUCUUUCUGGUUACAGGACAGUCCUCUCUGAGCCUCAGUUUUCUCAUCUCUAAGAUGAGGCUAAUUAUACCUACUUCCCAGGGGGGUACUAAGGAUAAAGUAACAACACAAGAAAAUUUUUUAUCCUUGAUUUUCUUAGCUGGAAAAUUAGGCUAGAAAGACCUCCAUCCUUGGGGUAUUUAAAAUAAAAGGACAAACAUAUGAUGAGUCUAAGUGAUCAAUACAUUGUGGCUUUUGUACUUACUAUUCUGAAACAUGGGUGUGGCCUAGAUACUUUCCAAAAUUCUGCCCUCUCCACCUAGCAAAAUGACAACCAGACUUACAGAUAUGCCAACAAGCUAGUGUUUAAUAAUGGUGUUUGAUGAUAAAUGGCAUUUCUUUUCGACAUUUGUCUCUUUUUAAAACUUGGUGCUCUUAAAUGCAUCAUUGGAUAAGUGAUGACUGUUCCCAUUCGCAAGAAGAGACCUGGAAUCUAAGCAUGAAGGACCUGUCCUGAUGUUGAGAAGUGUGGAUCACAUUUAUUUGUAAACUUAGCUUCUUGCUCGUCUCAUGGUUGCUUUUUUUUCUUUUUCCUUUUUCUUUUUUUUUUUUUUUUUUUUUUUUUUUUUUUUGAGAGGGAGUCUCACUCUGUCACCCAGGCUGGAGUGCAGUGGUGUGAUCCCGGCUCACUGCAACCUCCACCUCCCGGUUUCAAGCAAUUCUCCUGCUUCAGCCUCCCCAGAAGCUGGGAUUACAGGCACGUGCCACCAUACCCGGCUAACUUUUUUUUUUUUUUUUUUUUUUUUUUGGGAUUUUUAGUAGAGAUGGGGUUUUGCCAUAUUGGUCAGGCUGGUCUCGAACUCCUGACUUCGUGGUCCGCCCACCCGCCUCAGCUUCCCAAAGUAUUAGGAUUACUGGCGUGAGCUACCGCGCCUGGCCUUAUGGUUUUUCUCAUUUUUUCUUCCCUUCCUCCCUCGAUUCCUUUGUUCCUUUUACUCUACCAUGCCUACUGUAAAGAAUAAACAAUAGAUUGGAUCUACUCUCAAGAUGCAGGAUAGAGAAAACCAUCAUUUAUUAAAUGGCAUCUACACCGCAGGCUUUGUACCAGGCACACACUCCACUGUUCCCAGUUAUCCCUUACUGCACCCCUAGAGGUAUAUGUUUUCCCAGAAAAGAUAAACAAGUUGCCCAAAGUCACAUAUCACAUAGCUAGCAAGCGAACAUGGGGCUGAAAUAAAACACUGCCCAAUUCCAAAAUCCAUAUACUUGUUUCUUCAUGUUUCCCUAUGAAAAUGGCAAAGGUGAGGAGUGUGUGGUGUGUGUGCGUGUGCGCGUGCAUGUGCGUGUGUGUUUGCACAUGGAAAAUUCCAAAUAUCACAACUUCUCUAUAGACACUAGACUCAUUCUUUGGCUAUGGCUGUGUCCGUUAUCCCAAACUCUAUCUUUACCCCAGUUUUUACACUUGCAAAAGUAGAGAAACUUUAAGGUCCACCAGCUUUUACUAACCUCCCUCUUGCUCUGAUAGCUGUGUAAUAAUUUUUGUAUCCUUCCCAGUGGGUUCCCAGUCUUUUCAUCUGCUAGGACCAUCUGGUAACUCAUCACCAAACAUGGUGCCUGACAGCAUCACUGGUGCCCUGCAAAUGUCCACCUGAUAAAUGAGUGAAUUAAUGAAUGAAUAAGAAAAUGAAGGAUACUGGCUGCCCCUGGCCAACUAUAUCUUGGCUUUGGCUUGUCAUUCUAGAUUUGUGAUACUGGCUUCUAGCAGAAGCUUAAAGCCUCUUUUUUGUUCUUUUGUUCCUCUAAUGUACUCCCCCUGCCCCUCCACCAAGAUGGGAAGGAGGGCUGAUCUGAGCAUUCAGGUUUCAGAAUGCUAAUUGGAUAGCAGCCAAUUAGAAGUAGAUCCGUAAGGAUUUAAUUAGACUUUCUGGGUAGAUUUGGAUAUUGCUUUCAAAAUGAAAAGGCCCCAAAUCCAGGUUCCCCUGGAUUAUAAUAGUUUUAUGGCUCUGCCCUGCUUUAAUUUGAGGCUAGUUGGCAAUACCCUGUCCAGGAAAAAGGAAUCUUCCAUGUAGUCCUGUCUGUUCUACUGAGGUCUACAUUUGGGUUUUAGCAAACAAUUCAGCUAAUAUAUAUUAUUUUUCUUUGUUCUCAAGGAUUUAAUGGCAAGAUGCCAUUAUAGACAAGAACAGGAUUCAGACACUUUCGUGUUAUGUGUUCUUGUCCAAAUACUGUGUCACUCUGCACUGGCAUCCCAAUCCCACCAACACCUUUAGCAGGAACUUCCUGUUUCAAUAACAUUUCUCAAUACUCUACCUGAUUGCUUAGAAUCCAUGAGACAGCCAUAUUCUCCAUGUCUAGGUCCCUAUCUUAUUUUUGUUGAGAUGGUGUUAAGACUUUAUUUGUGAGGCUUCUGGGGAAGAGGAGUAAGGUAUUGAUCCCACUGACUGGAUAAUUUGGGUCUCAAAAUGGAUAAUAAAUAAGCAUUACAUAUUUUGACCACUUCCUUGGAGGAGAACUUCUUGGAAUGUGCACCAUGUCCGCUGCACUUUUUUUGCACAGAUAUCUAAGUUGGAGAAACAUACUACUAGAUAAAUCAAUUUGUUCUCUUAGUACUCAUGAUAUGGUUCCUGGGAACUUCUGAUUCACCAAAUUAAUCUUGGCCAGGUACAUACCUGGCAGGAAUCCAAAAAUUCCCCAAGUCUCCUUGAAGUUCAGGAUCAUCAUUCUUAAUAAAUACACCGAGGGAAAAACCAUGGAGAGUUUGUCCCAGAUGCUGUGAAUCUGGCCCGGGGUACAUGAAGAAGUCCUUAAUUGCAGUCAUUUACAUGGUAGAUUCUCUAUAAUCAUUUAAUUUGCUAUAGGUCUAUGAUUUUUAGUCCUUCUUCUCUAAAUGAUUGAACAUGUAUAAUUCCCAUUUCAAUCAUAUUACCUGGAUGAACAAAAGUAACGCUAGACUCAUUCAUGCAUUCUGGUUGCCAAGGAAAAGGAAAAAAAAAACAAAACAAUCAACAGGAUGUUUAAACUGUCUUAGGGCAACUUCAGGCCAUAGUCACUGGUGUUCUUGCAGACUAUGAGAUAUUUUACAUUCUGAUAAGGGAUAAAAAUUCGUGCCUCACAUGGCUCCCAUCACACUAAGAUCUUGCAACAAUAACACUACUGAUUCAGACAUUAAUCUUAAGUAUCCAGGGAGCCCUAAAACAUUGUAUCCCACUAGCAAGGACCAUGGUAAUUGCCACGUAAAUCCCCUCCAUUAUGUGGCCCUUAUUAUGACCAGCCAGCCAAGGCUUGCCUUUAAAUCAUACCAAUUGAACCGAGCCUUGUAGAAACACUAUCACCUACGCAUACCUCUGCUUCUUUUCAUUAACCUGCUAUCCUCUUUACAAAUGGGAUUCUUCACCCACUCCCUUCUUCUAGAUUAGCAAUGCCCUGUUAAGUAAACGAACACGAAAUUCAAAGGGAAACAGGAGCAAUCAUCAUUACCAGCUGCCGUGUUAAGCAUUGCGAAAACGCUCACGAUUCACAGAAAAAUCCAUGCUGUUCUUUGAAGGCAUUCAAGCCUUAAUAGCUAGCUGGAUGAAUGUUUAACUUCUAGGCCAGGCACUACUCUGUCCCAACAAUAAGCCCUGUACAUUGGGAAAGGUGCCGAGACAUGAACUUUGGUCUUCUCUGCAAUCCAUCUGGAGCAUUCACUGACAACAUCGACUUUGAAGUUGCACUGACCUGGCCAGCCCUGCCACUUACCAGGUUGGCUCUGUAUGGCUAAGCGUUUUCUCCUAAAAUCCCUUGAAAACUGUGAGAAGACCAUAAGAAGAUCAUAUCUUUAAUUCUAUUUCACAAGUCACACAAUAUUCCAAUCAAAUACAGAUGGUUGAGAAAAGUCAUCCAUCUUCCCUCCCCACCCUCCCACAGCCCCUCAACCACUGCCCUGAAACUUAUAUGCUGUUAUCCGCAGCUCCAUCUGGAGCAUCACAGCUACUGUCAACCCUGACGCUCUUUCUGAAAAAACACCGGAUGGACAUCAGAACUAUUUCUUUAAGGAUGUUACUGAGCCACACAGGAAAACUUGCCUUAUGAUUUUGAAUGCACGGAUCUGAUUUGACUAAACAUGAUAACUAGAGAAUCACCCAAUCUACUCCCAUUUUCAACUCUAAAUCAUCAGAGUGUCUCAAAUCCAAAGCACACACAGACCAGCCUGGCCAACACGGUGAAACUCCACCCCUACUAAAAGUAUAAAAAUUAUCCAGGUGUGGUGGCGGGCGCCUGUAAUCCAAGCUACUUGGGAGUCUGGAGGCAGGAGAAUCCCUUGAACCUGGGAGAUGGAGGUUGCAGUGAGCAGAGAUCACACCACCGCACUCUAGCCUGGGCCACAAAUCAACAACAACAACAACAACAAAAAACAAAGCGCACACAGAGACUGAGGUCCUCUUUGGCAUUGAGAAGAUGGCUAUGCAAGUCCCAACUAGCAAGUGCAAACUUCCCAGCUUCACUUCUGCCAGUGUCCCUUCACCCCUUCUCAACCCCACUGGGAGGCAGGAGGGUGCUUGACAAUAACAGCCUUGGCAUCACUCUGCCAGGGUGUAAUAGGAACUGUUACAAUUCUGAGAUUCUGUGUAAGCACUGGCCUUUCUGCCUAGAAUGCCUUCUCCUCUCUUUUUUAACUGCAUGCUCCUAUUUAUCUUUCAAAGCCCGGAAAAAAUAACACUGCACACGGGAAAUGCUCCCUUCCUACUGCAGUCAUUUAGAUGACUCUAUGCCAUUCCAUUCAUUUCUCUUUCCUACCACAGAAGUGCUUUGAGAUUUUGGAGUCAGACUGCUUGAACUUGAAUCCUGGCCCUCUCAUCAGAGACUUGACUUAUUUUAGGCAAGUUAUAUAACCAAUUUUACCUCAGUUCCUUACCCAUAAAAUGGGUCUAAUGAGAGUACCUACCACACAGAAUUUUGAUGAAAACUGAAUGAGAUGAAGGCCUUUAAGGCAGUGGUCCCCAACCCUGGGGACACAGACAGGUACCAUUUUGUGGCCUGUUAGGAACUGGGCCACACAGCAGGAGGUGAGCAGUGGGUGAGUGAGAUCAGCGUUAUUUACAGCUGCUCCCCAUUGCUCACCUUACUGCCUGAGCUCCACCUCCUGUCAGAUCAGCAGUGGCAUUAAAUUCUCAUAGCAGCACAAACCCUGUCAUGAACUGCACAUGCGAGGGAUCUAGGUUGUGCGCUCCUUAUGAGAAUCUAAUGCCUAAUGACCUGUCACCGUCUCCCAUCACCCCUAGAUGGGAGUGUCUAGUUGCAGGAAACAAGCUCAGGGCUUCCACUGAUUCUACAUUAUGGUGAGUUGUAUAAUUAUUUCAUUAUAUAAUACAAUGUAAUAAUAAUAGAAACACAGUGCACAACAAAUGUAAUGUGCUUGAAUCAUCCCCAAACCAUCCCAGUCCACGGUCUUCCACAUUUUGUCUUUUCACAAAAUUGUCUUCCACAAAACUGGUCCCUGGUGCCAAAAAGGCUUGGGACCACUGCUUUAAAGCCUUUGCAUAGUGCUUAGAAUUGAGGGGGAAAAAAAAAACAAAAACAAUGUAGCUAGUUGCUACAAUCACUAUAUUGGUGAGUUUCAAAAGGAAAAGAAUUCUGUCCCAUUUAUGCUUGAGCCUUGAGUUGCUAACCAAGCCUGACACAAAAUUACUGUUGAAGGGAUGUGUGAGUCCUAAUUGAAAUGAGGCCUCUUAAGGGAAUUGUGGACCAAACCCCAAGCAGGCAGAAAGCCGUAUCUUAAUUAUUGCAAGUAUUUCAGGCAAGGUGUGGAUGGCCAUUUGAAUUCAAGCAGACUAGGACCUGGGAUGAGAAAGAAGGUGUGUACGUGACUUGAUCUUUGAACUUUAGCUCACCAUCUGGAAGAAGGCUGAGUAUUCUCUGCACUCACAUAGUAGCUAAUGCCUACUCCCCAGCCACCCACAAUUCUUUCUGUAGGAAGGCUCGCUAGAAUACUUUGUGAUAUUGGAUAUUAGUUCCAUAUUCUACUGUGUAUCUUAGUUCAACCAAAUUGUAAUCAUCUGAUAUUUAUUUCUUUUAAUAUAAAUAUAAGUAUAUUAAGUCUUGGCAUGCUUGCUCAGUCUCUCUCUCUCUCCCAUUCCUCCCCGCUCCCCUCUCUCUUUCCCAACAGGCUUGGAAAGCAGGCAUCACCAUGCCUAUUUAACAGUUGGGGUCCCUUGGCCACCAGGUGCUGGAGUAGGAAUCUGAGCCCGGACAUGCCUGAUCUGUAAAUUUUGUGUUUUCCCCACUGUGCUGGGCAGAUCACAGCUAUCAGCGCCAAAUUCAUAGAAGGGGCGCCCCCUGUGGUCAAUUGAGGGAUUUGUGUUUGAGGUAGAUCUCAAGAAGGAAUGGGUGGGGAACUUAGCCUAGGACAGAGCAGAAAGGAGCCCUCACUCCCCAAGCACCAACGGCCUCAGUCCUUCCUGCUGACUCCAGCCUCUAGCUCUCACCCAGACUAUCUGCAUCCUUCUCUCCACCACGCUCCUUUGGAACCUGCGUAAAACACAGAUUAAAGGAAUUCCGCCUUACUUCCCUUUCCGCAUUAUGACCAAAUGGUUUUACACUAUCAUUGAACAGUUUAGUACAAAACAUGCCACCUUUUAAUCUAUUCAUUCAUUUAACAAAUACUUUGGAGUGUUUACCAUGUGCCAAGUGCUGUUCUAAUAGACAUAAGCUGUGAGGUUAUGCUUAUCUGAUUCUCACAGCAACAGCUUUCGAGAUAUGAAUUGGUAUACUCAUUUGACAGAUGAGGAAAUUGAAUUCAUGUAGUGAGAAAGGAAGAGCUGCAAUUCAGGGUUACUGGUUUCUCCUGCACUAAGCACUGAGCCACACUAGAAGAGAAGGCAUGAGGAAGACAAAAGUGAGAAGGUACGAGAGAAGAUAUUAAGUAGAGGUCUAUUAGUUCCUCUUAAAACUAUUUAUGAAAGAGGCGGAUGGGGUAGUGGAUGGGAAAGACAGAUGGAUUCAUGUUCUUCACUCCAGGUUUCCCCCCAUUCCCUUCCCUUUUAAAUGCCUGCUCAUUUUUUGGCUACCUUUCAAGCUCUAGGAAAUACUCUGGAAUUCCAGGCUGGGAGGGGUUUCCUUUGCAGAUCUGGCUAUUGUAACUUUACAAGAAAUUGCUCAAUACUUCCUCUCACCAGUUACAAACCACGGUUUUCUGAAUGAACUUUAUGUUCAUUAAACAGUUAACCCUUCAGCUUUCUGACUCACAUUUUUCAUGUUAUUAAUCAGCUCUUAGAGUAAGGUAAAAUCUAGAACAGACUUUAUAUACACCCUCCCUCCCACACACAUAUACAUACAUAAUACAAACACAGACCACACAUGUCCACAUCCUUAUGCGCAAACACUAAGAAACACACGCAUACACAAACAUACAUGUACACAAAAUUAAAUACAUAGCUAUGGCACUUUCACUAUACAUGUAAACACCCUUACACACAUACAAAUGUACAUGCGCGUGUGCGCACACACAUAUGGAAUUAGCUUUUUCUCUUUGUGGGAGGAGGGAAAUGAAAAGACCCAAAACAUUCAGAUUCCCAAAUGGACACGUAAGAACCCCGUCAUGGAAAUAGGUCUGGGUUUUUUUCUCUUUUGAGGGAAGCAGGGCGUUUCUGGUUACUGUCGCCAUUGCCAUUGUGCCCCUGCUUACCAUCCCCCUGCACCGCCCCCCCGGCCCCCGCCCGCCACUGCUAGGGUUUACAGGUCAUCCCUGGAUUAAAUAAGUGAUAUUGUGUUUUUUUUUCUUUGACACAAAGUAAAAUUAUAAUUAAUAUUGAAUAAAGUAAAAAUGAACUCCUGAGUUCCAGUCCCUUAUGUAACACACCUGGUUUGUGGCAGGCACUCAGGAAAUAUUAGUUGCAUGAACGAAGGCUGCAUUUUCAUUAGAACAACAUGCAGUUCAACCCCUUCAUGUUUCAAUGAGGGUUCAGAUACCCAGAGGGCUAUGCUAUCAUCCUGGAGCCCACUCUGCUAACAAUUAGCAGAACGGAAGCCUUAAUUUCCAGAUUCUAGUGAACUUGAUGAGUCAAGACUAUUGCAAUUGGAAAUCUGUUCUCCUCUGCUGCUGCAUUCCCUGCUUAAUACUCAAGCCAGAAACCAGGAAGGCUGUGGCUUGCCUUUUCACUUCUUGUGUCCUGUUUAAGAAAUAUCUGCUAUCCCAAGAUAACACUAACAAAGUUGACCUUAGAAUUGGAGUGCCUGGGUUAGAACCCUGCUGGUACCACCUGCUUACUGCAUGCUUCUGAUGUGAGUUCAGGAGAAGACACUGGCAAGGACAGCAAAGAACAGGAGAACACUCUAGCUUCCCUGAUAGCAUUCAAGGUGCUGUCCAAACUGACUGUGAUGGCACCCUCCAGACAGACAGCGAUGCCACAUGUUCAAGAUGGCAGAAUCACUAUCAGCUUCAAUUCCUGAAUGACUGCAGAGCAAAAUUUCUUACCUGCAACAUACACUCUAUUUUCAGCCUCCCUGGACUGUUACAUAAUGAUACAUAAAAAUAUUUCUUGUGUUGAGGCAUCCCAAAUUUGAUUUAUUUGUCAUCACAGUCUAUCCUAUGAAUAUAUUUCUGAUCCAAAUAAUGCUAGAUUCAUGAGAGUUUAUAGUCCAGAGAUUUUUUUUUUUUUUUUGAGACAGAAUCUGUCUCCCAGGCUGGGGUGCAGUGGCAUAAUCUUAGCUCACUGCAACCUCUGCCUCCCGGGCUCAAGUGAUCCUCCCUCCUUAGCCUCCAUGAGUAGCUGGGACCACAGGUGUGCACCACCACACCCCGCUAAUUAUUUUGUAUUUUUUGCAGAGGGGGGUUUCACCACAUUGCCCAAGCUGGUCUCAAACUCCUAGACUUAAGGGAUCUGCCUGCCUUGGCCUCCCAAAAUGCUGAAAUUACACUUGUUAGCCAUAGUAAUAGUUCCUAGCCAUAGUCCGGAGAUAUUUUAAAAACUUUAGUGUGAGUUAUUUCUCUUUGCUAUAAUUCUCUCAUGCAUUUUGAAAACCUUUUCUGCCAUACAGUGGUUUUUGGGAAGUCCUUUUGGACAGACAUAUCACAGGAUGGAGAAACUAAAAAGAGAGAAUGCAUUAAAGAAAAAAUAGUACUUCGUAUUUCAGAAAUUACAAAAGGGUGUCAUGCCCCACAGCAUGGUGGGCAGUCAUUUGUAACCCACAGAACAUUGAGUUUCUAAAAUUUGAGUGUUUUUAACUUACGAAGGCCAACUUUACUGAUGAAGUGAUUACCCCAAAUAUGUGAAAUCCAUAUUUCAAGUACAAUAGUAGGAAAUUGGAAAUGGGUAGGUAUAUUUCUGACUGUCAAAGAGUACAAAGUAAAGAGGGGCCCCUGAAGAGUGACACUACUGGAAAAACAGAAGAAAAAAAAAACUGUUUCUUUUUUUAAAGAGCAGUCAACCUCAAACUUACUACUAAUGACUGUAUUUCAUUUCAGUCUACCCCAGUGGUUUUGUUUCUCAUAGACUGUAGAAUGUAAGCCUUUUUGGUCAUUCUGACAGAUUUUCCAGCACAAAGAAUAUCAGGGGAUUAACUGACAAAUCAUGGGUAUUUUUGGCAAGAUAGUAGAUUAACCCUGGAAAUUUUCUCCAUCUAUGAGAAAAAAAGACAUGUGCCACCUGAGGGUUACAAAGACUGUUGGUGGCUGACCUCAGGCUCCUGUCUUUUAUUUUAUUUUAUUUUUUUACCAUUUUACCUCUGCCCUGUUUUUUUAAAUUAUUAUUAUUUUACUUUAAGUUCUGGGAUACAUGUGCAGAACUGCGGGUUUGUUACAUGUGCCAUGGUGGUUUGCUGCACCUAUCAACCCGUCAUCUAGGUUUUAAGUCCCACAUGCAUUAGGUAUUUGUCGUAAUGCUCUCCCUCCCCUUGGGCCCCACCCCUCAACGCGCCCCACCCCUCAACAGGCCCCAGGGUGUGAUGUUCCUCUCUGUGUGUCCUUGUGUUCUCACUGUUCAGCUCCCACUUAUGAGUGAGAACACACAGUGUUUGGUUUUCUGUUCCUGUGUUAGUUGGCUGAGAAUUAUGGCUUGCAGCUUCAUCCAUGUCCCUGUAAAGGACAUGAACCCAUUAUUUUUUGUGGCUGCAUAGUAUUCCAUGGUAUAUGCCAUGUGCCAUGUUUGCUUUAUCAUUGAUGGGCAUUUGGGUUGGUUCCAAGUCUUUUCUAUUGUAAUUAGUGCUGCAAUAAGCAUACGUGUGCAUGUGUCUUUAUAGUAGAAUGAUUUAUAAUCCUUUGGGUAUAUACCCAGUAAUGGGAUUGCUGGGUCAAAUGGUAUUUCUGGUUCUAGAUGCUUGAGGAAUCAUCACACUGUCUUCCACAAUGGUUGAACUAAUUUACACUCCCACAAACAGUGUAAAAGCGUUCCUAUUUCUCCACAGCAUCACCAGCAUCUGUUGUUUCCUGACUUCUUAAUAAUUGCCAUUCUAACUGGUGUGAGAUGGUAUCUCAUCAUGGUUUUGAUUUGCAUUUUUCUAAUGACCAGUGAUGAUGAGUUUUUUUCAUAUGUUUGUUGGCCAAAUAAAUGUCUUCUUUUGAGAAGUAUCUGUUCAUAUCCUUUGCCCAUUUAUUGAUGGGGUUGCUUGAUUUUUUUCUUGUAAAUUUGUUUUCAGUUCCUUGUAAAUUCUAGAUAUUAGACCUUUGUCAGAUGGGUAGACUGCAAAAAUUUUCUCCCAUUCUAUAGGUUGCUUGUUCACUAUGGUGAUAAUUUCUUUUGCUGAACAGAAGCUCUUUAGUUAAUUAGAUCCCAUUUGUCAAUUUUGGCUUUUGUUGCCAUUGCUUUUGAUGCUUUAGUCAUGAAGUCUCUGCCCAUGCCUGUGUCCUGAAUGGUAUUGCCUGGGUUUUCUUCUAGGGUUUUUAUGGUUUGGGGUUUUACAUUCAAGGCUUUAAUCCAUCUUGAGUUAAUUUUUGUAUAAGGUAUAAGGAAGGGGUUCAGUUUCUGUUUACUGCAUAUGGCUAGCCAGUUUUCCUAGCACCAUUUAUUAAAUAGAAAGUCCUUUCCCCAUUGCUUGUUUUUGUCAGGUUUGUCAAAGGUCAGAUGGUUGUAGAUGUGUGGUGUUAUUUCUGAGGUCUCUGUUUCAUUGGUCUAUAUAUCUGUUUUGGUACCAGUACCAUGCUGUUUUGGUUACUGUAGCCUUGUAGUAUAGUUUGAAGUCAGGUAGUAUGAUGCCUCCAGCUUUGUUCUUUUUGCUUAGGAUUGUCUUGGCUAUAUGGGCUCUUUUUUGGUUCCAGAUGAAAUUUAAAGUAGUUUUUUUCUAAUGCUGCAAAAAAAGUCAAUGUUAGCUUGAUGGGAGUAGCAUUGAAUCUAUACAUUACUUUGCUCUGCCCCUGUUUAUACAUACAUGACUGAUAUGGUUUGGCUGUGUCCCUGCCCAAAUCUCAUCUUGAAUUCCCACAUGUUGUGGGAGGAACCUGGGGGGAGGCAACUGAUCAUGGGGCAAGUCUUUGCCAUGCUGUUCUUGUGAUAGUGAAUAAGUCUCAUGAGAUCUGACGGUUUUAAAAAGAGGAGUUCCCCUGCACAAAUUCUCUCUCUUUGCCUGCUGCCAUCCAUGUAAGGCAUGACUUACUCCUCCUUGCCUUCUGCCAUGAUUGUGGGGCUUCCUCAGCCAUGUGAAACUGUAAGUCCAAUUAAACAUCUUUCUUUUGUAAAUUGCCCCGUCUCAGGUAUGUCUUUAUCAGCAGUGUGAAAAUGGACUAAUACAAUGAUACAAGAGUAGUUAGAACAGUAUUUAUAAAUGUGCCAAUGUUAAUCAACAUAGGAGUUAACGAUUCCCUGUUUUUCUGUGAUUUCUCAUGCACCAAAAAUAUAUUAAGAUAAAAUAUACAAUUUUCAUUCACUAUUAAGUGACUAACCUCAUAUUGCUUUCAAAGGCAUUUAUUGGCACCUACUAUGUGUGAAUACACUCAGCUUGCUUAUGUGAAAGCUGAAUAACAAAGUGGUUAUGUAACUUAAUGAAGGUCCCACAACUAGGAAGUGGUAGAGUAACUUUCUAAACCACUUUCCUCCCAGUUUAGUUUCACAUUCAUGUGUUCAGUCAACAAGCACUUAUGGAAUCCUGAUGCUGGGCCCUACUUUAUGGUAGACACUGAAGAUACAGACUUUGUCCCUGCCCUCAUGGAGUUCACAGUUCAGGAGGGAAACCAGAUUUAAUCAAAUAACCACACAAAAAUUUGCUCGUAAAAUGAAACCAAUGCUAUAAGGAAAAUGAACAGGGUGAUUUGAGAGCAUAUAAUAGGAUUUUAUCAUAUCUGAUGAUUCAGAGUAAUGUUCUCCUAUAGAAGAGAUGUGGGAACUGACAUCUGAAGUGUCAGUGUUAGUUAGCCAGGUGUGGUAUAUAAAAGAUGACCAGCUUAUCCACCAAGAGGUAGAAUUGCUUUCCCCAUGCAUUAAAUCUGGACUGGCCUUUGACUUGCAGUGUCCAACAGAUAAAGUGGAAGUUUCUGCUCUUGCUCCCUUGGAAUAUUGUUCUGAGACUGCCAGCUGAAGAAGUCUAGUCUAGUCUAGUUUAUUAGUGGAUGAGAGGCUGGUAGAAAAGCGAAAAACUGUUGCAGCUGAGUCCCCUGAGUCCAACCAGUUGACAGCCUGCAGCGACUGUGUGAGGCCAUCUUAGAUUAUUCAGCCCCACUACAGAUGCCAAAUAUCUGCAGCUGUAAAAGUGAUUCCAGGCAAUAACAGAAGAACCAUCCUGCUGAUCCUAGCCCAAAUUGCUGGCCAUAGAACCAUGAGCUAAUAAGACAGCUGUGGUUAUAAUAUAUUGAGUUUGGGGUUGGCAUGUUACAUGGCAGUCAGUUAUUGAUACCCUGAGAGAAGUAUGGAAGCUGGGACUGAAUUCUAGGAAGAGGGAAAGAUAUAGGCAAAGGUCCUGAGGAGGGAAGAAUAAACUUUUAGAGAACUGAAAGAAAGAUGAUGAGAUAGAAGACUUCAGAGGGCUAGGCAAGGCCCAAGUCUAAAAGCAGUGUCUUAGAAUCUGUCAAAAAUCUCAUCUUUUUAUUGUUGUUUGGAACAAAGUCUUUCUUUAUUGCCUAGGCUGCAGUCAUGCAGUGGCACAAUUAAAGCUCACUUCAGCCUCGACCUCCUGAGCUCAAGCAAUCAGCCUCCUGACUAGCUGGGACUACAGGUGUGGAUGACUAUACCCAGCUAUUUUUUUUUUUUUAUUUUUUGUAGAAACAGGGUCUUACCAUGUUGCUCAGGCUGGUCUCAGACUUCUGGGCUCAAGCAAUCCUCCUGCCUCAGCCUCCCAAAGUGUUUGGAUUAUAGGCAUGAGCUAGCAUGCUCGGCUGUGAGUUCAAUUUUUUUCUUUAAAAGCAAGAGAAAGUCACUGUAGAGAUUUUGAGCUCAGAAGUGUCAUGAAUAGACUUGCACAUGUGCAUAUAUUGUUUUUUUUUUUUUUCACCAGGCGCAAACUUAUGGUGGAAGGGACCUACAUUAAGCACACAUAAGUAGAAGCUGGCCAGGCACGGUGGCUCAUGCCUGUAAUCCCAGCACUUUGGGAGGCCGAGACUGGUGGAUCACGAGGUCAGGAGAUCGAGACCAUCCUGGCUAACAUGGUGAAACCCCGUCUCUAUCAAAAAUACAAAAAAAAAUUAGCCAGGUAUGGUGGGGGGCGCCUAUACUCCCAGCUACUCGGGAGGCUAAGGCAGAAGAACGGC
rnacentral:lncRNA from 1 species